AAAGCCUCAAUAAUUCAGAUAAAGUAAAGAGACGGAAGCGUUUUAACUUUGUGGUUUAUUAAAUUUUUUAAGAGUUAAAUUUUGGCAACAUUUCUGGUUUGUUUAUUAUUGUAUAGAAAUGGCUGCCGGUCCGAUUGCUGAAAGAAAUCAGGAUGCUACCAUAUAUGUGGGAGGUCUUGAUGAAAAAGUUAGUGAAACUAUUUUAUGGGAGUUGUUUGUUCAAGCUGGUCCUGUUGUGAAUGUGCAUAUGCCUAAAGAUCGUAUUACAGGCCAGCAUCAAGGGUAUGGUUUUGUUGAAUUUUUGGGUGAAGAUGACUCAGAUUAUGCUAUCAAAAUUAAGAACAUGACAAAACUAUAUGGCAAGCCUAUAAGAGUGAAUAAGGCCUCAGCUCAUCAAAAAAAUUUGGAUGUUGGUGCAAACAUUUUUAUUGGCAAUCUAGAUCCAGAGGUCGAUGAGAAGCUAUUGUAUGAUACGUUUUCUGCUUUUGGUGUGAUUCUCCAAACUCCAAAAAUUAUGCGAGAUCCUGAGACUGGAAAUUUAAAAGGUUAUGCAUUUAUAAACUUUGCUAGUUUUGAAGCGUCUGAUGCAGCCAUUGAAGCCAUGAAUGGACAGUAUUUGUGCAACAGGCCAAUCACUAUUUCUUAUGCUUUUAAGAAAGAAUCAAAGGGUGAAAGACAUGGCUCUGCAGCUGGUAAUUGAAUGGUGGACUACAACCCCACUCUUCUUCAGAUCCAUGCAUACCAGCUUAUCUGGGAAGUAAAGGUGGCCAGUGCAUAAUACUGACCAUAUUGUCUCCAUCAUGCAAACGUCUGUUGGCUGCCCAGAGUCCCUUGUCGCAUGCUGAUCGUCCUCAUCAACUGUUUGCUGAUGCUCCAUGAUGCAAUCUCCAUAUAGGGUAUGCUUUCUUCAAGUAAACACAGGUUUUGUUACACCCAAGUGAUCUUUUUUCCCUUUUGUCUUUGCAUUAGACUCAGCUUGCAAUACUGAUUUUGCUAAAGAUGUACCACAGUUUGUUUUUAGUGCAGUAUA
rnacentral:misc_RNA from 1 species